rnacentral:lncRNA from 1 species
UUUUCCUUGAUCUUAGCAAUGGUUCUUGUCAUUUUAGUCAUGGAACUGAUGGUGGAUAGCUAACAUCUUUCUUUUAUGAUCUUAGCAAGCUUUUCCUUGAUCUUAGCAAUGGUUCUUGUCAUUUUAGUCAUGGAACUGAUGUUGGAUAGCUAACAUCUUUCUUUUAUGAUCUUAGCAAGCUUUUCCUUGAUCUUAGCAAUGGUCAUCUUGUUUCAAUUCUUCCAUUCAGAGCAAUGUUUGAUAUUUUGUAUGGGUAUAUUCUUUGAAUGUUGUCAAACCAUUUCAAUUGCUAUUGAAGAAUAAGAUGUGAGAGAUUGUCUUAAUAGAUAAAAUCCCAUUUUAUUUUAAUCUCUAUUUGUUCUACUGCUCUUACGGAACAAGAUUAGAAGACUCCAGGAAACUAAUUUACCAGAAAAUCCGGUGUUUAUCACUAUGGACUUCGAAAAACUCUACCCUUCACUGAAAAUAGAACCAACAUGCCUAUGCCUCUACAGGUUCUUAUUACAAAACUUACCAACUCAGACCAACAAUCUGAAACUCUGCAGAGAAUUAGCAGACAUAAUAUGCCACUUUUCGUACUAUAGGUUUAAAGAGAAUUAUUAUAAACAAACACAAAGCAUACCGAUAGGAAGCCCCAUGGCGGGGGGUACUAGUAGAGUUAGUACUUCACUCUCUAGUGGAAACCAUAGCAGGCGACUUAAUACAGGAAGUGGUCCUAUACAUCCGAUAUAUAAACGAUAUAAUUGUAGUAUGGGAAGAAGUCAAUAGAGCAGAAGAAUUGAAGAGUGUUUUUACGAAAGAGAGCUUUGGCCUCAAGCUUAACCUGGAACAGGUAGAGAGAAAGGAAAUACAUUUCCUAGAUGUGCAGAUCAUCUACCAGCUCCCAGCAAUACAAACGACAGUAUACAGAAAACCGACGAGUAAAGAUAUAAUCAUACUAAGAUGAUCCAACGACAAGUGGAAAUAUAAGAAAGUAGCCAUUUGAUCGUAUAUAGAGAGAGCUCUUACCCACUGUAAUAUAGAAGACCUACUAAACCACGAACUUAAGAAAAUAAAACAGGUAGCACAGAAACAUGGUUACUCAGGAAACAUAGUAAGCAAAACCUAUGAGGAGAUUAGAACAAGAAGAGACAGGAAGGCAAAUAGACAGAUGGAAGAACGCCAAAGUGACAGUGCAAAUAACGCAGAAGAGAACAAGGACAAAUACAAGGUUAUUACUGAAGAACUGGGGAGUAUGUAAACAGUACAGAAACUGCUUAGGCAAAAGAGAAGGAAACCAGCCUACAAGAGGUCCCCUACAGUGGCAACUUUGCUCAAAACAUAAAGGACAAGUAUAACGAGGCAGAACAAGCAGGAGUAUACGAAAUACCCUUAACGAACAUAGAGAAACAAUGUGACGAAGUAUACUUUGGUGCCACGGCUAGGAAUUUAGGAGACAGACUAAAGGAGCAUAAGUCCGACAUGAAGAGAGACCUGC